rnacentral:rRNA from 1 species
AGUAAAAGUCGUAACAAGGUCUCCGUUGGUGAACCAGCGGAGGGAUCAUUACAGAGUUAUCCAACUCCCAAACCCAUGUGAACUUAUCUCUUUGUUGCCUCGGCGCAAGCUACCCGGGACCUCGCGCCCCGGGCGGCCCGCCGGCGGACAAACCAAAACUCUUGUUAUCUUAGUUGAUUAUCUGAGUGUCUUAUUUAAUAAGUCAAAACUUUCAACAACGGAUCUCUUGGUUCUGGCAUCGAUGAAGAACGCAGCGAAAUGCGAUAAGUAAUGUGAAUCGCAGAAUUCAGUGAAUCAUCGAAUCUUUGAACGCACAUUGCGCCCAUUAGUAUUCUAGUGGGCAUGCCUGUUCGAGCGUCAUUUCAACCCCUAAGCACAGCUUAUUGUUGGGAACCUACGGCUUCGUAGUUCCUCAAAGACAUUGGCGGAGUGGCAGUGGUCCUCUGAGCGUAGUAAUCUUUUAUCUCGCUUCUGUUAGGUGCUGCCCCCCCGGCCGUAAAACCCCCAAUUUUUUCUGGUUGACCUCGGAUCAGGUAGGAAUACCCGCUGAACUUAAGCAUAUCAAUAAGCGGAGGAAAAGAAACCAACAGGGAUUGCCUCAGUAACG